CCUGAGAAACCCAAAAGAUCGAAUGGGGAGAUUCAUCGUCAGCGAGCUAGGCGCUUGUGCGGUUCGUGAUAUCGGGAGACUUCGGUCUCGCGGCACACGUCCGUAUGGUAUUUUGCAGAGCUCCGUCGGCGUGCACUUCUCCCCUAGUAGAACGUCGCGACCCGUUGGGUGUCGGUCUACGGCUCGGGCGGAAGCCUGUCAUGUGUUUCGCUUAACCGCGUCACGUGGCAGACCCCCGAUUGUCUGACCAGCGCUCGGCGGUACUCGCACGGUAUCGGGUCGCAGAUAUUCAAACUGCGUCCGGCCCGCCGCAAGCGAGGCCAGUGUUUCCCGGAAGUACGGACCUAGCGCCGUCACCGGGCCUGGCCAGCUGUUGGUCGGCGGUGUCCUGGGACUGGCCCUUUAUUAUGAUACCGGUCGGCGACGCUACUGCUUUGGGUACUUUCAGGA
rnacentral:rRNA from 1 species